rnacentral:lncRNA from 1 species
UACUGAGCGACAUAAAGCCCCAAAUCACCCGACUAGAGCUAAAUUUAUUGAACUCUUUCGAGCUACCCAAGGAUUAAUUUCAGCCGUAGGAUAAAAUCAAGCCAACCCUUGUCCACCUCCUACCCCAAAUUCUGAAACACCAAGAGAUCCAUUUCCUAGAACAUACCGAAGUUUAGAAAACUUAACCCCCCACACUUUGAAGGUGGCCCUGAUCCAUUAGUAAUCGAAGCCUAGAUCCUACAAAUAGAUAAUAUUUUCUUUGUCCUAGACUGGAUCAAGGAAUAGAAAGUUUCCCUUGCAGCCUUCAUGCUAAACAGCGAAGCAAAACACUGGUGGUGACUUAAAAAGGAAGUCCUGCCUACUCCUACCACUUCGAAAGUUUUUAUGGAUGCAUUCGAUGAUAACUUCUUCCUUGCCUAUAUUG